rnacentral:rRNA from 1 species
UACGAAGGGGGGCUAGCGUUGCUCGGAUUUUACUGGGCGUAAAGGGCGCGUAGGCGGACAUUUUAAGUCAGGGGUGAAAUCCCGGGGGCUCAACCUCGGAACUGCCUUUGAUACUGGGUGUCUUGAGUGUGAGAGAGGUAUGUGGAACUCCGAGUGUAAGAGGUGAAAUUCGUAGAUAUUCGGAAGAACACCAGUGGCGAAGGCGACAUACUGGCUCAUUUACUGACGCUGAGGCGCGAAAAGCGUGGGGGAGCAAACAGG